rnacentral:rRNA from 1 species
AGAGUUUGAUCCUGCGCUCAGGAUGAACGCUGGCGGCGUGCCUAAUACAUGCAAGUCGAACGCUUUGUGGUCCAACUGAUUUGAAGAGCUUGCUCGGAUAUGACGAUGGACAUUGCAAAGAGUGGCGAACGGGUGAGUAACACGUGGGAAACCUACCUCUUGGCAGGGGAUAACACUUGGAAACAAGUGCUAAUACCGUAUAACACUAAUAACCGCAUGGUUAUUAGUUAAAAGAUGGUCUUGCUAUCACUAAGAGAUGGUCCCGCGGUGUAUUAGCUAGUUGGUAAGGUAAUGGCUUACCAAGGCAAUGACACAUAGCCGAGUUGAGAGACUGAUCGGCCACAAUGGGACUGAGACACGGCCCAUACUCCUACGGGAGGCAGCAGUAGGGAAUCUUCCACAAUGGACGAAAGUCUGAUGGAGCAACGCCGCGUGUGUGAUGAAGGGUUUCGGCUCGUAAAACACUGUUGUAAGAGAAGAAUGACAUUGAGAGUAACUGUUCAGUGUGUGACGGUAUCUUACCAGAAAGGAACGGCUAAAUACGUGCCAGCAGCCGCGGUAAUACGUAUGUUCCAAGCGUUAUCCGGAUUUAUUGGGCGUAAAGCGAGCGCAGACGGUUAUUUAAGUCCGAAGUGAAAGCCCACAGCUUAACUGUGGAAGUGCUUUGGAAACUGGAUAAACUUGAGUGCAGUAGAGGAGAGUGGAACUCCAUGUGUAGCGGUGAAAUGCGUAGAUGUAUGGAAGAACACCAGUGGCGAACGCGGCUCUCUGGACUGUAACUGACGUGAGGCUCGAAAGUGUGGGUAGCAACAGGAUUAGAUACCCUGGUAGUCCACACCGUAAACGAUGAGUGGCUAAAUGGUUUGAGGGUUUCCGCUCCUAAGUGUCGCAGCUAUCGCAUUAAG